rnacentral:lncRNA from 1 species
AAGAUUUUAAUUCACCUGCAAUAGACUUUGUAGAAUGAGAAGAAGAAGACAUGACUAAAGCUUUGUGUAUACAAGUAUUUUACCUUGAGAAAACUUAGGAAAGUCAAAGAAGGUAGUUUUCCAGGUAAGGGAGGUGAGUCACAAAGGACUACUUAAAUACCAAGCCUUUGCCUUAGCCAAAAACUAUCCCUCAAUGUCUUCACACAAAACUUUCUC